AUCGAACGCUGGCGGCAUGCCUUACACAUGCAAGUCGAGCGGCAGCGCGGGGGCAACCCUGGCGGCGAGCGGCGGACGGGUGAGUAAUACAUCGGAACGUGUCCUUUCGUGGGGGAUAACCAGUCGAAAGACUGGCUAAUACCGCAUGAGAUCUCACGAUGAAAGCGGGGGACCGCAAGGCCUCGCGCGAUUGGAGCGGCCGAUGUCGGGUUAGCUAGUUGGCGGGGUAAAAGCCCACCAAGGGGACGAUCCGUAGCUGGUUUGAGAGAACGACCAGCCACACUGGGACUGAGACACGGCCCAGACUCCUACGGGAGGCAGCAGUGGGGAAUUUUGGACAAUGGGCGCAAGCCUGAUCCAGCCAUGCCGCGUGUGUGAAGAAGGCCUUCGGGUUGUAAAGCACUUUCGGCCGGAACGAAAUCGCGCGGAUUAAUAACCCGCGUGGAUGACGGUACCGGAAGAAGAAGCACCGGCUAACUACGUGCCAGCCGCCGCAGUAACAC
rnacentral:rRNA from 1 species